AUUGAACGCUGGCGGAAUGCUUUACACAUGCAAGUCGAACGGCAGCACGGACUUCGGUCUGGUGGCGAGUGGCGAACGGGUGAGUAAUGUAUCGGAACGUGCCCAGUCGUGGGGGAUCACGUAGUGAAAAUUACGCUAAUACCGCAUACGCUCUAUGGAUGAAAGCGGGGGAUCGCAAGACCUCGCGCGAUUGGAGCGGCCGAUAUCAGAUUAGGUAGUUGGUGGGGUAAAGGCCCACCAAGCCAACGAUCUGUAGCUGGUCUGAGAGGACGACCAGCCACACUGGAACUGAGACACGGUCCAGACUCCUACGGGAGGCAGCAGUGGGGAAUUUUGGACAAUGGGCGCAAGCCUGAUCCAGCCAUUCCGCGUGCAGGAUGAAGGCCCUCGGGUUGUAAACUGCUUUUGUACAGAACGAAAAGGUUUCUACUAAUACUAGGAGCUCAUGACGGUACUGUAAGAAUAAGCACCGGCUAACUACGUGCCAGCCGCCGCCGUAA
rnacentral:rRNA from 1 species